UUCGUGCCCUCGAGCGAGAAACAGUCGCCCGACUCUGUUCCCUCCUUCGCCCGCCGCCUCCCGGCCUUCGUCCCUUCACCGCCGCCGCCCUUCGUCCCUUCGCCGCCCCCGCUCCAUCCAUUCACCGUCGCCCUGACACUGAUCCGGCGUGUAAAUCGCACAUCACAAGCGCCGGCCUCCACUGAUCCGGCGCCGGUCCAGGAUCCGGCGCCGAUCCUGGUCAGGACCCGUCGCCGGAGACGUCCAGGACGUCCAGGAUCCGGCCACACCUUUCACCAGCCGCCGCCGAGGAGCCCUACGCCGCAGCCAAGAUCCAAGAGGAGCAGCCGCCGCCGAGAUCCGAGAGGAGCAGCCGCCGCCGAGGUUCGAGAGGAGCUGGCCACCACGACCUCCCUCCCCAGCCGGCCGCCACCACCUCCUCCCCCACCCCCUCCCCCACGUGCCUGGCAUAGGUGGGUCUCAGCCUCCCUCCUACCUCCGUCCAAGGCUAGGAACUCCCCUCCCCUCCCGAUCUCCUCCCUUCGUCCAAGGCCACGAGCUCCCCUCCCCUACCCGAUCUGACGAAGAGAGGGCCAGGCCUUGCCACUCCGGUGUUCGAUGUGGCCAGAUCCAGCCGGGGGACUCGCCGCAGAGCCUCCAUGUCGGCGGAGCAGCAGCAGCCCAACAUAAGCGCUCAGAUAAGAUUAGGAGGAAGGGCAUCACACUCUCCGAUAGCAAACAAGAUACCACAUACCGAUCCUGAUUUAGAAUUAUGACAAGGAGUCAGGGACACAAUCAGAUUUAUACCAUCCGUUGUGAUGAUACAAGGAAAGUAAACAUAUACGCAUAUUGUGUUCAACGUGAUGAUACAAGCGAAAGCUGGCCUACGCCGCCAACUGAUCUGCGGCAGCGUGAAAGGAGUGUUCAAAAGUAGCAGGAACAGUUGUUCCACUGCUGGUCGGGGGGAGAGCUUGGCAAGGGAGAUAGAGGGAGCUCUACAACCACGAUCUUGGCAUACAACCCGAUGGCAUCAUGCCCAUUUAAGCUUCUUCCAUGUUCCAAUUCUUGCAUUUGUUGGUCUUUUACUGUCAGAGCUUACGAAAUCCAUUACAAAUUGAGGUGAGGCCAAGUCGUGAACUUGCUGAGACGUCUUUGCCUUGAAUUCUAAGGCUUGAAUCUAAAUGGAGGCGAGGCCAAGUCUUGAACGAAUACUAAGGUUUGCAUCUUUUAUAAAGCUUGACAGUUACUGUGUAGUUUCAGUUAACAUGAUAGUCACGCGUGGUGAAUCUCUUUUCUUGUCCAGAGAUUUCACGAAUCCAUUAUUGCCUACAGAACAACAUCCUAGGGCCCUCCCAGUUUGAUUCUCUUUAUUUUGCUAUAUCUCAACUAUUACAUACAUCAUUUAUGCUCUGAAGCUAACCAUUGUAUGCUUUGAUUGGUUGGAGCGGCAAGGUUUUCCAGAUCCUGGGAGUCUAUCCCUUCCAACAAUCUGGAGGUAGCAUAGUACAUCCGUACUCGCAGAGAGAAUAUGAUCUGAGCCGCCGUUAUGUGUUUCUACUAAUUAAAGAACAACUAGGGUCACUUGAAAGAAGAUGAGCUGGAAGAAUUCCACGAUAGACCAUUGCUUCAAGGUUGGGAGCGGCCACAACAUAAUUGACAUCAAAACCAGAUCUGGGUCCUACAUAUCCGGUCUUGCUCGUAUCCUACAAUGGUUUACAGAUGGUGUGGCUCCUUGCACUAAGAUGAUCGAUCAGAGAUCUAGAGUCCUCAAUACAGAUCGAUGAUGCCUCCUCAAGAUUCACUUCUUCGUAGCCCCCAACCUUGGUAUAUUAUAAAAACCUACAAAUAAAUCAGAAGAAUAGGCAAUUAUCGGAUGCUUAUGUUUGUUGGUGUAGUAGCCCUCUUAAGUCCAGUCCUAGAGAAGUGUGUCGUAGAAGCAUAUCAGGAAGACAUGGACGUGGAUAUGCAUUAUGGUUGUAUUAUGGACGUGGAUAUGGUCGCUAUAUUAGCUAUAUCUUUUACAUAUUUUUCUGAGUUUGUUCUCAGGGGUGGGUCGUGGCUACCUGGUAACGGUCCAAUUUGGUUGUUUUAUGAUCUUGUCAAGAUAUUUCACACGA